CAGUCGCCGCGGUAAUACGGAGGGUGCAAGCGUUAAUCGGAAUUACUGGGCGUAAAGCGUGCGCAGGCGGUUAUAUAAGACAGAUGUGAAAUCCCCGGGCUCAACCUGGGAACUGCAUUUGUGACUGUAUAGCUAGAGUACUGCAGAGGGGGAUGGAAUUCCGCGUGUAGCAGUGAAAUGCGUAGAGAUGCGGAGGAAUACCGAUGGCGAAGGCAAUCAUCUGGGCCUGUACUGACGCUCAUGCACGAAAGCGUGGGGAGCAAACAGGAUUAGAUACCCGAGUAGUCCCUGUCUCUUAUAC
rnacentral:rRNA from 1 species